UGGGUUGUGGCUCAGUGGUAGAGCACUUGCCUUGCACACGGGAGGCGCUGGGUUUGAGCCUCAGCAUCACAC
rfam:Ictidomys tridecemlineatus contig128843, whole genome shotgun sequence.